UAUUUGUUACAAUCUCCUUAUAAUAAAUAUCCUACACAAAUACAUGAAUAUGCAUCGUAGCUCAAUCACAAGAAAUCAAGUCCAAAAUGGAAAAACCUUCUCAUUUUCUGAAUUAUUGCUCAUCCUCCGAUAUCAACACCGAUCGUUCUUCACUUCUUGCCUUCAAAUCUCAAAUCACUUCCUAUUUUACUCUAUUUCAUCAUCUACUUUACUCUCUCUCUUUAUUCUCCUACUUUUUUCUCUUUCCUAUUUUAUUAUACUUUAAUCUAAUCUAUUCAAGAAAAUUUCUUAAUCUCCAUGCCAAAAGUUUUGUACCAACUUAGUUGGGACAGAGGGAGUAUAUAAAAGAAGCACAGUGCCCGGUAAAAUUGUGACAAAAUUUAUAGGAAGGAGGAGAAUUUCUUAAAAUCCAUGCGGGAAAGAAAUGGUACUCCUUAUGGUGGAUGGAGGGAGUAGCAUUUUGAGGCAGAGGGAGCGCACAAAAUCAAUAUGUUUGUUGUCAAGAUUAUUCAAGAUAUGUCAAGUAGCAGAUAGGGAAUGAGAGCUCACCAUUUAAUUUGUUGGAAGAGAGAUAUAAGUACUCCAGAUCUAAAAGAUUUCCAAUGGUGGAUGGUAUUGGACCUUCAAACAAUUUAUUUGAAAAAGAAAAUAAGGCCUAUUUCUAUUGCAGUGAGCGAGGAUAGUGAGUUAUCACAUCAGGUGUUCAACGGUUUGUUGAAUUGAAUCCUUUUGAAGCUAAA